CUGCUGCCCUGCAGAGAUGCCGGAUGGGGUGCUGCCACCCUGCACAGGAUCCUGGGUGGAGCACCACUCCUUGAGGCAGCUUGCAGUUAAUUCUGCAGCAGGAUUUGGCUACUUAGAAGAGGCAGUAGACUGAAUGAUCCAGGGUGUGGGGGCAAGAUGUAUGUAGCUGCCUUAUACCAAGUAAAACAGUUGAUCCAUCAAGAUAAAUAGACCUCAAUGAAGCAAGUUUCUUGUCUGCAUAUGCCAGCAAAUGUGAAAUUGGUUAAUGUCUGCCCCACUGUCUUCAUUAAAAUGGCAUCUGGUAUACUGCUUAAACUCCUAGCAACAUUUCACUCUUGAAGGUUUCUUUAACUGAAGGCUUUAGUAAUUUCUCUAUCCUACUGUCUUUUCAUUAUAUCUGGUUUUGUGAUCUAUCUUGCCUAUUUGCAAAUCUUAUUCUGAUUUGGAUAAUAAACGUCUUAGAGUCCAUAAAGCAGAUGGCACUU